UGUAUGUGUGUGUGUGUGUGUGUGUGUGUGUAUGUGUGUGUGUGUGUGUGUGUGGGUGUGUGUGUGUGUUUGUGUGUGUGUGUGUGUGUGUGUGUUCAUACUGGACGAUGUGCGUCUCUGCACAAGUCAAUGUGUGUAUGUAUGACCCGGGACACACGUGGCCCAGCUUCUGUGAAUCGAGUCACUCGCUAUUCAAAGUACGUGUUGUAUUUCUGAAUCAAUCCGUGUGUUGGUGUUUUCUCGUGUGGGCAGAAGUGAGAGCAGCUCUGUUCCAUGUUUCCAUCGAGCUGCUGUCUCGAGUCCACAAGAGUGAUUUUGGCCGUUGGACUUCGUUCACAACCACUUCACUGUAACUUUGGUCCAUGUCCCAUCAGCUGACACGUAGGAGGCGGAGUUUAAGAACCAUACUGCAGCCAGCCACCAGGGGGCCAUCCAGUCUCUACGUCUUGUAAUGUAAACAAGAAUGUAUCCUCUCAUACUAAAACAUCAUUGGACAUUUGGACACGACGGAUGUUUUCAUUCCACGUCAUUGGCUCAGGUCAGUUUGAAUCUGCCCUGGUGAAGGACGUUGAGUCAGGAAGAGAUGCCGAGGGUAUGGAACCAAUCUUUUUUCGACACUCGGCUGUCACCGGCAUCGAACCCACGAGCUCUCCGGUAGCCUGGAACAAGGUGUCUCCGAGAGCCAGGUGAGAAAGUGCUCCUCCAGGCGAUGUAAACGGAGGAGCAGGGUUUUCAUUAUAUUUUAACAGUCGCCCCCGUUAUGUUUUUAUAGCCCCGUCUGCCACAAUAUGGCCUUUCUCUGCAAGCGAGCGAAUGGGAGCCAUAUGGAAAACACGGUACUGUACCUGAGCUGCUAUUGAACAGUCACACAGACGCGGUAUUGUGCUGUGAGAAUGGAGAGAAACGAGGUGGAUGAGAAGGUGGAUGGAGAGGAAGAAAGAGAGGGUGGAGGGGGAACGUGUACAUGAGGGUUAAAUUCGGGACGUGAUUCAACAAGAAGGAACAGAAUGAACGAAGGAGGGAAAGAUGAGGAUUGGAGGUGAGGAAAGGAAGCAUGAGAAAAGAAGGAGAGAGGAAACAAGAAGACGACUGACACGCAGCAUCAACGCUUUAACGUGGAGGGAACUCGUCCACGUCCACGUCUGCAGACGCGAGGCCGAGGGCCAAGGAUUUGGCCAAGUUGUGGCCCAGAUGUGCAACACAUGGAAACGCAAAGGCCGUGAAUAGAUUCGAACGCCCUCCACGGUGGAGCGAGAGGAGGAGGGAAGAAGAGGACGAGGUCGAGGUCGAGCUCUGCGGCAGGCGUUUCCGAGGAAAGACAUGUGUUCGCCGGAGGUCAGGGGAGCCCGCUGCAGCGAGCAGGAGGAGGAGCGAGGGCGAUGGAGGUGUAAUUUCACACCUGUCGGGUUCACGGCCUCGCAGCACACGACGGGGGAAGAGGUGAGAAGCGCCAAACAACUCUGUUCCGCCUUCCUUCCCUUCUCUGCCUGUGUGUAAGGAACAUGAGCAGUUUGUCAGUGUGUUCGGCCUCCAGAGAAAGUUGCAGGAAACUUCACACUUCAGACCAAAGCCCCAAAACAAAAGAACACUUCCUUCACCUGUUCACCUUAAUACCGUCAGUCUGCACUAUAUAGUUUCAUGAGUAUACCCAUGGCAAGACAUGUUUACGACAGUUAUAGAAUAUCAGUGGAUGAAUCAUAUUUGUAGCCGCUCAGUGACACUUUGACUCUCAGUCAGUCCCGCGACUUUCCCUCGAGCGGCAACGUGACGGAGCCCUCCUUUAAGUUGAACAGAUACUGAUGAAUUUCAUCCAUCGUCCCAUAAUUUCUUCUGUGUACGUCUUUGUUUUCCUCUGGUGACGUCAUCAGCACUAAAUUUUUGUCGCACACUUCAACUGUUCCUCCGAAAAUCUGUGUCCGGCGCUAAUUAGCAAACGAUAGCAAUGUUAGCAUUAAGCUCACUAGUAACUCAAUGCUUACUGUUAAAUAUUACUUUGUAUGUUGUCAAAUGAGCAAAUUACUACAUAUGGAAGGUGUUAUACAUAAAAUGAUCUCUUGAUUCUUGUUCCCUGUAAUGUAACGAAGCACUUUAGCAUCUUUUAGCUCAUUGUUUUGGUAGACGAUGAGUUAAGACUUGAAUAUGUCCAGUGGACAGGACCAAUAAAAUGCUUGUGUUUUUCAGUAUGUGAAUAGAUGUACGAACACAAAAGUGAUUGCUAACAUAUGUUCUGAAAACAAC